UUCCGGAACACAUAAACAAUCGAAUCUAAGGAACCACACGCCACCCCCUCAUCAUCAUCAUCAUCGAUUACUUUCGGCACACGCACUUAUCAACGCAUGCUGUUGGAGGCACGCACACGUCUCCAAACACACGUGCAUCCCAUACCCACCCGCCCAGCCCCACAGGCACAACAUAGGCGCACUGCACUCUUCAUCAGCUCUUGCCCACCCACCUCCUGCACCUUUCAGCUCUUCGUUCUCUCACUUGCUGUAUGACACACACGCGCCUACACGCGUCCACGCACACACAAUCUCUGUCCGUCUGUGUGUGGGACUUUCCUGCGGGUAUUUGCGUGUGUGAGCGCGGUGGUGUUUCUUUUUUUUUUGUCGUAUUUUCCACUCGUUUCUCUUCACAAGCUCAUCAGUGUUUGUCUUGAGGUUCCCCGUACUUCACUUCCCUGAUCCCUUCCCCCCACCCACCACCCACCACACCUCUGAGAGCUGUCGCGCGUGUUGCUGCCACGAGUGGUUUGCAGGCACGCACACUGUGCCCUUUCUACGUCGGUGUGAAGUCGCCCACUUGCCGCGUUCGCUUGUCUUGCCCUUACGAAAAUGGAGCCACGGAAGGCGGUGGAGAAGGUGCAUCCGAAGCUCUCCCCAUCGCCGGAAAUGCCCACCGGAGAGCAGGCACAGCUCCGAUCACUGCGUAGCUCUCGUGCCUCUAGCGAGGCGCGCUCGGAGCAAGGGCCAGCGGCCCCUUUCAGCGGUUCUUUCCAGGACGCGCAAAUGGCUGCCUGCCGAAGCUCUCGUGCCGGCAGCGAGGCUCCGCAGCGAGAGUCAGUGACAGCCAGUCCCAGUAGUGCUACGCGCCGCGACCCCUACGCGUCGUAUCGUAGUUCACGCGCUGGCAGUGAAGUGCCUGACCGCGGGCCAGCUUAUGAGCCGAACGAGGACCGCUCCGCUCGCAGCUCGCGGGCGGACAGCGAGGUGCCCGAGCGCGGCGGCUACAACGAGCCGGCGAUACCGUCACCGAAGCGCACCCCUGGAAAGACCAAGCAGAAUCUCAUGAUGAUGGCCGCGUCGACUGGAAGUCGCUCCGCGCUUCGAUCCAUACGCGCUGGCGGCGCUGUUAGCGGUGCAGGGAAGUCGGGGCACCGUGCCGACGUCCACGGCGGCGGUAGGGCUCCACAGAGCGUGCGCGAGCACAUCCACAACGUCGAGCAGCGGUUGUACGGCACGGUGCACCGUGCGACGACGACCUUUCAGUUUUACCAGAAGCUGCACUACCCACUGGAGUAUCCAAACGCAGGAGAUGAGGCUGACGUGGCGGAAGGCGCUACGGUGGCGGAGGGCCAGGCAUACAGCGAAUCGAUGGCGUUGCCGGCGGAUCCGAAGGAGCCGUCCCCACAGCCGCGCUUUGGCAGCCACAACGCUGCCAAAAGUACGGAGCUCAUGAGAGGGACGCCCUCGCCCGCCGCUUGCGAAGACGGAGACAACAUCACUACCGCCCCUGGCGGCGCCGCCGGGGCGUCCGCGUCGGAUCCUCGCUCAUCCACUAGUCACUCCUCCGUUGUUGCCGGUGCCGCUGCCGCCGCCCUUAUGGGGAACCUAUCGAGCGGCUGCGGAGGUAGCAGCAACAGCCCGAGCCCUUGCUUCGACGAGGCAGCCUUCAACGCCUCCUUCGAGAAUACUGGCUUUCUGGACGAGUCUGGCGACAUGCUAUCUGAAUCCUUCCGGGCGCCGCUGCAGACCGAUGGAGAGGACAGCGCCCUGCAGUCUGUGAGUGUAGUAGCGAUGGCGACACUGUUGGACCCUAUGAGCGGUGCCCCAGUUCUGGGCCUGUGCCUAGGCGACUACAGCGGCCACAUUGAAUAUUUUGAGGUGAGUACGGCGGACACCUACAACUCCUCCAUUCGCCGCAGCAAGUCGCUCAUGCAGCAACAAGAAGUCCGCGCUUCGCCAGCUGGGCAAAUGCACGGCGUCUGUGGCAAGACGCGGGGCUCGCUGCGAUACAGCAGUGACGACGGCACCGGUACCAGCGCAACGCCGAACAAGUGCGGCAGCCUAGACUCGGCAGCGACGGAGAACAUUACCCAUGACAUGCGUGGCCGCGAGGUGCUGCGGCGGCAUUCGCACAAGGCGUUCGUUAAGUCGAUCAACGCCCUCACCUCCGUUGCGGUAGAGCCGUACGUGAAGUGUCUGACCUUUGUGCGCCAGCGGUGUUCGCCGAGCAUGAUCAGCUACCUCACCGCGAACGAGCGGGUCAUCAAGCUGUUUCACGUGCGCCGUGAGGGGUUCAGUCCAUUUAACGCCUUCGCGGGCAUGGAGGAGGUAAUCGGCAAGACCUUUGCUGGGUCGCGCUACUUUGCGCGCCUGCCACCACAGCCGGCCAUUCUGCCCAUCAAGGAGUUCGGUCCGGUGACCAAUAGCAUUCAAGCGCUGAGUGUUUCCGCGGACGGGGAGACGUUCAUGAGCGUCGAGGACCUGCAAGUUUUCUGGUGGAGUUUCGAGGCGACGGACACGACGAAGGCAACCUGCAUCGCGGACCUUCGGCCGCCGUCGGGGGCCCUGGACGAGGUGGAGGAACUCGUCACCGCGUCGUCCUUUCACCCGACGCACAGUUCGCUGUUCCUGCUGACCCGGAGCUCCGGCAUUCUCAACAUUGGCGACCUGCGCGACCCGCCAUCGCGCGAGAGCCGCAAAUACGCCAUCUCAUCGCAGCUUACGACGCAGCAAAACCCAUUUAGCUGCCAGGCGUACGACGAGAUCCUCUGCAGCAUCUCAGGCGCCUCUUUUUUGGGCCCCGACCACGUUGUGACGCGCGACUACCUCAGCUUGAAGCUCUGGGACUUGCGCAAGCCGGAUCAGCCGUGCGCCAUGAUGCCCGUGAUGAACUACGUCUCCAAGUACCUCGACUCACUGUACGAGAAUGACUCCAUCUUUGAUCGCUUCCCCGUCGCCGUGGACGACAUCUCUGGCACGGUGGUGACAGGCCUCUACGACAGCGCUGUCGCCGUGUGGCAGCCGCUGCACUCGUCGCUGACUCUGGCGAACUCUCUUGUCCACUACCGCGCCGACCCGUUCGUCGAGCCUGAUGACGCGGUCGCUGGCGGGGUGGUGGGGGUGCAGGAGCUGGAGAAGUCGCUUGCCGACGCCUGGUCACAGACGCUAGCGGCGCAACGCAGUUCCCGGCCGUCGUCGCAAACAAUCGAGGAGGACGGCUUCGGGAUGGGGGUACCAGAGGAGGCGAUACCGGAGCCGUUCACGAACAAGGUACUUACAGUGGCCAUCGCCCCAGGGGGCGAGCGGUUCUGCUACACGUACAAGAACGGCCGCCUUGUGUACGUCUUUGAGCGCAAGAGCGAUCCCCAGUGACGUACUCACAGAUCGUCGCUGAGCAAGAGGGAAGGCAAGGCGACGGGAACGUCGAGGGGGAGAGGAGGAUGCAUAUAGCCACUCGGUGCAGCAAGCGUGCCGGACGCAACGCUGGCUGUUCUGUUUGUUUGACGUCCAUACACCGUUCCCUUCUCUGACGCUAAAGGCAAAUACAGCGUUCACCAGCAUAUACGUCCGACAAGCGCCAGACGGUGCUGCUGGUCCAGGGGCACUUUAUGGCGCGCGCGCUCGUUUUGGUGCACCACCUCUUCUUCGCCAGAGUGUACCCUGCCCCGCCCCUCUCCGGACACCGACACUACGACACAAGGACGCACAGACCCAGGCACACACACACACACAUCCGCAGUUACCUUUGUUUUUGUGACGUUCCUUGCCAGCUUUGCCCGGGUAGAAGCUGCUCCUUUCUCUUCUUUUGUUGACCAUCACGCACCUGUACCCCGACUGCCAUUUUUUUUUUAUUGCCCGUUGUUGUUGUUCUCUCUCUCCCUAUUCCGCACCCCUUGUCCCUGCUCACGGUCUCUCGACUACGUGUUGUUGUGUAUGUUGUAUGUUUGCGUGCAUGUGUGUGCGUGCGUGUGUCUCCAUCACGCAGCGCUCCUGUGCGCUCUCUCGUGCUGCCUCUACUUGACCACAUUCGACUAUCUUUUCCAUGCUUGUUGUUGUUCUCUCUUUUCGGAGAAGGACGGCUGCGAGGUAGUGUGGCGUUGUUGCUGUCAUGAUGACGAGCGGCAUCCCUGGACUACAGUUCAGGUGGGGCUCGUGCAAAGACUUGGUGCAUAGCCGACAGUUAGGGGAGAGAAAGCCUACUGAGGGCGGCGAGUCCGGCAAAGGCUGUGCGGCAUUCGAUGCGACUACUGACACCGGUAGGGGCGAUGUUCUUUCACCUGCAAACACUCACACGCACACGCAGAGGGCGCCGCCGACAGACGCACACGCACACACAAACAUGUGCGUAAAAGCCGUGAAUCGCGCGCAUCAAGCAGCCGAAGCUGCCGCUUACUUAGCUGUCUUUCUCCUUUUCUAUGAGUUUGCUUCCUGCUCGCUGUGUAUUCUAUUCCUUUCGCCCCUCCAUGCCGCUUUGGCGGGGGAAGUGGCGGGGAGGGAGGGAGGGGUGAGGGGGGGGGGGCUGCCAUACGGCUUGACGGGUAGAAAAAACGGAGUGGCCCGUUUUCUUAGUUUGUUAUCUCGCGCGCGCGUGUGUGUAAGUGUGUCUGUCCACUGCUGCUGGUGUCUGAGGCCCGUGCUGUGAUGGUUUAGCCAGAACUCUCUUUUCGAGGCCGGCCUUUGUAUUGCUGGAGGUUUGCGUAGAAGAAGGCGAGCACCCAGCACACGAGGACGCUCUGUCGAUGCUCGCUCCGUCAUCCUGGCUCUUCUGACUCUUUGAGAGGGAGAAAGACGCUUCCGUUAGCAGCAUCGGAAGGCACACGAACACGCACAGACACAUACACAUGUACG
rnacentral:misc_RNA from 1 species